UACGUAGGCAGCAAGCGUUGUUCGGAGUUACUGGGCGUAAAGGGUGCGUAGGCGGCCUUAUAAGUAUGGUGUGAAAUCUCCCGGCUUAACUGGGAGGGUGCGCUAUAGACUGUGGGGCUAGAGUGUGGGAGAGGAAAGUGGAAUUCCUGGUGUAGCGGUGAAAUGCGUAGAUAUCAGGAGGAACACCGGUGGUGUAAACGGCUGUCUGGGCCAUAACUGACGCUGAGGCACGAAAGCGUGGGUAGCAAACAGG
rnacentral:rRNA from 1 species